GAUGAACGCUGGCGGCAGGCUUAACACAUGCAAGUCGAGCGAGCGGCGGACGGGUGAGUAAUGUCUGGGAAACUGCCUGAUGGAGGGGGAUAACUACUGGAAACGGUAGCUAAUACCGCAUACCAUCAGAUGUGCCCAGGUGGGAUUAGCUAGUAGGUGGGGUAAUGGCUCACCUAGGCGACGAUCCCUAGCUGGUCGGAGAGGAUGACCAGCUACACUGGAACUGGGGCACGGUCCAGACUCCUACGGGAGGCAGCAGUGGGGAAUAUGGCGCUAUUGGAGCAUGCCUGAUGCAGCCAUGCCGCGUGUGUGAAGAAGGCCUUCGGGUUGUAAAGCACUUUCAGCGAGGAGGCGUUACUCGCAGAAGAAGCACCGGCUAACUACGUGCCAGCAGCCGCGGUAAUUC
rnacentral:rRNA from 1 species